rnacentral:rRNA from 1 species
CUUAGGAUGAUGGACUAGGAUUAGAUACCCUAUUACUCCUUUGCGUAAAGGGAUUGCUAGAGGACUUGAACCCAAAGAACUUGGCGGUGAUAAAAAUCAGUCCAGGGGAGCGUGACGGUUAAUUCGAUGGUCCACGAAAAACCGUACCCUACCUUGUAAAUGUUCAGCUUGUAUACCGCCGUUGACAGGGUACCUUUUGAGGGGUGAGUAGUAUGUGACACCUACCUUUAAAACUGCCGAGAGAUACGUGGUACGCGUGGUUACGUAGGAUCUAUUAGGCGAUGGCUAGAGGACAGCAGGUACACGUGCAGCUUAUGGUAGGGGCUUAGUUGCGCUACAAUUCUUUUAUAGAAUACGGAUUAUAAAUUGAAAUUGUUAUAUGAAGGCGGACUUGGCAGUAAGGUUGUUGAAAAUAGCAACCUGAACGCGUUAAUUUAUCGUGUACAAAUUGCCCGGCACUCGCGGAUCUAAAACUGGGAU